rnacentral:tRNA from 1 species
ACUUGAAUAGUUUAUAUAAGAGCGUUGCAUUGAAGCUGCAAAAGAGAUUUUUAAUCUUCAGGUA